AGGCAUGUCAAUGCAAAACUUUUAACAGAUCAGCGUAGAGCACUGUCAUCAAAAGUUCUUUUGCAACAUGAAAUUAUUUCAAGUGAUAUUUGCUAUUUCCUGUGUUAUUGCCCUUGCUAUGGCAUAUCCUGGUCAUAAUAUAAUUAAAGGAGAUAACAAUAGUGGAAAUAAACAGAAGAAUGCUGAUGGCAGCAUCAGUUUAUGGGGCUAAUUAACUGAUAAUAUUGGAAAGAACAUAACGAAAGCAGAAUUUUGGAAUCCAAUAAUAUUUGGAAUUGUUAAUAUAAAUAAAUGUGUUAUUAGAAAAUCUCCAAUCGUAACAUA